GCAUAUAAGUAAGCGGAGGAUAAGAAACUAAAUAGGAUUCCCUCAGUAAUGGCGAAUGAACAGGGAUCAGCUCAGCAUGGAAAUUGGGGCCCUCGGCCUUGAAUUGUAGUCUCGAGAUGCAUCGCCAAUGGAGGCGCAGAUGUAAGCCUCUUGGAAAAGAGCAUCAACGAGGGUGAGAGUCCCGUUUGUCAUCUGCAGUCCCCCAUGCACGGCGUGCCUUCUAAGAGUCGCGUUCCUCGGAAUUGGAGCGUCAAUUGGGUGGUAAAUUUCAUCUCAAGCUAAAUAUUGGUUCGAGACCGAUAGCAAACAAGUACCAUGAGGGAAAGGUGAAAAGGACUUUGAAAAGAGAGUUAAAAGUGCCUGAAAUUGCUGAAAGGGAAGCGAAUGGAACCAGUGUUGCUUGGCGAGAUUGUCGUACGCAUUCGCGUGUGGUGGUUCUUGCCUUGUGUGUCAACGCCAGUUCGCGAUCGAGGAAAACUCCAGGGACAUGGUAGCCUACCCCUGGGUGGGUGAAUGUGCCUGGUAGAACUCAUUUGCGGACUGUUUCCUUCGUGUCUGGUUGCAGUGCUGCUUGAUCCUGUGUUGGCGCUUGGGGGUGGGAGCUCGCUCCUCACACCCUGCCCUUCUAAGGUUCUCAGCGCUUCCCUGACACAUAGACGAUGACUAAAUGGUUCUAUUCGACCCGUCUUGAA
rnacentral:rRNA from 1 species